UACGAAGGGGGCUAGCGUUGCUCGGAAUCACUGGGCGUACAGGGUGUGUAGGCGGUUUGGUAAGCCUUCUGUUAAAGCUUCGGGCCCAACCCGGAAAGCGCAGAGGGUACUGCCAGGCUAGAGGACGGGAGAGGAGCGCGGAAUUCCCGGUGUAGCGGUGAAAUGCGUAGAGAUCGGGAGGAAGGCCGGUGGCGAAGGCGGCGCUCUGGAACGUUACUGACGCUGAGACACGAAAGCGUGGGGA
rnacentral:rRNA from 1 species